rnacentral:rRNA from 1 species
UACGUAGGGGGCAAGCGUUGUCCGGAAUCAUUGGGCGUAAAGAGCGUGUAGGCGGCUCGAUAAGUCUGCUGUGAAAGUCCAGGGCUCAACCCUGGAAGGCCGGUGGAAACUGUCGGGCUAGAGUCCGGAAGAGGAGUGUGGAAUUCCUGGUGUAGCGGUGAAAUGCGCAGAUAUCAGGAGGAACACCGGUGGCGAAGGCGGGUCUCUGGGCCGAUACUGACGCUGAGGAGCGAAAGCGUGGGGAGCGAACAGG